CAGUCGCCGCGGUAAUACGGAGGGUGCAAGCGUUAAUCGGAAUUACUGGGCGUAAAGCGCACGCAGGCGGUCUGUCAAGUCGGAUGUGAAAUCCCCGGGCUCAACCUGGGAACUGCAUUCGAAACUGGCAGGCUAGAGUCUUGUAGAGGGGGGUAGAAUUCCAGGUGUAGCGGUGAAAUGCGUAGAUAUAGGAAGGAACACCAGUGGCGAAGGCGACUACCUGGACUGAUACUGACACUGAGGUGCGAAAGCGUGGGGAGCAAACAGGAUUAGAUACCCGCGUAGUCCCUGUCUCUUAUAA
rnacentral:rRNA from 1 species